GAAGAAGACAAGCUGGAAGAGGCCAGGGAAAGGGGUCUACAGGUGUAUCCAGCAGCUACGGAGAAACAGCGACCAGCGAGAACGGGCCAUGAUGACGAUGGCGGUGUUGUCAAAAAGAAAAGGGGGAAAUGUAGAGAAAAGAAAGAGGGAUCAGACUGUCACUGUGUCUAUGCAGAAAGGAAAGACAUAAGAGACUCCAUUUUGAAAAAGACCUGUACUUUAAACAGUUGCUUUGCUGAGAUGUUGUUGAUUUGUAGCUUUGCCCCAGCCACUUUGACCCAGGCACUUUGGCCCAACUUGGAGCUCACAAAAACAUGUGUUGUAUAAAAUCAAGGUUUAAGGGACCUAGGGCUGGGUAGGACGUGCCUUGUUAACAAAAUACUUACAAGCAGUAUACUUGGUAAAGGUCAUUGCCAUUCUCUAGUCUCAAUAAACCAGGGGCACAAUGCACUGUGGAAAGCUGCAGGGACCUCUGCCCUUGAAAGCAGUGUAUUGUCUAAAGUUCCUCCCCAUGUGAUAGUCUGAAAUAUGGCCUUGUGGGAUGAGAAAGACCUGACUGUCCCCCAGCCCGACACCCGUAAAGGGUCUGUGCUGAGGUGGAUUAGUAAAAGAGGAAAGCCUCUUGCAGGUGAGAUGGAGGAAGGUCACUAUCUCCUUCUUGCCCCUGGGAACUGAAUGUCUCGGUGUAAAACCCGACUGUACAUUUGUUCAACUCUGAGAUAGGAGAAAAGUUGCCCUGUGGCGGCAGGUGAGACAUGUUUACAGUAAUACUGCCUUGUUACUCUUUACUCCACUGAGAUGUUUGGUUGGAGAGAAAGAUAAAUCUGGCCUACGUGCACAUCCAGGCAUAGUACUUUCCCUUGAACUUAAUCAUGAUAUAGAUUCUUUUGCUCACAUGUAAUUUGCUGACAUUCUCCUUAUUAUCACCCUGCUCUCCUACUACAUUCCUUUUUGCUGAAAUAAUGAAAAAUAAUAAUCAAUAAAAACUGAGGGAACUCAGAGGCCGGUGCCGGUGCAGGUCCUUGGUGUGCUGAGCGCCGGUCCCAUGGGC
rnacentral:lncRNA from 10 species